GGGGAUAUAGCUCAGUGGUAGAGCACAUGCUUUGCAUACAGGAGGUCCACGGUUCGAUCCCAGGCAUCUCCA
rfam:Loxodonta africana unplaced genomic scaffold scaffold_318, whole genome shotgun sequence.